GUUAUCUUUUCCAUUAUUGGAAGCCUUGACCACUUCAAGCAAGUUGAAGGCAGAACACUCCAAGCAUGAUGGAAUCCCUUCUCUUGUCCGGCAGCAUUAGUGGAUGCUGGCGAGAUGACCAUCAAGGCUGAAGUAUGGCAACACUGUGCUGUUUGAGAGUAAACGGAGAGACAAGUUGCAAUUGAAAAUGUUAUCUUUUCCAUUAUUGGAAGCCUUGACCACUUCAAGCAAGUUGAAGGCAGAACACUCCAAGCAUGAUGGAAUCCCUUCUCUUGUCCGGCAGCAUUAGUGGAUGCUGGCGAGAUGACCAUCAAGGCUGAAGUAUGGCAACACUGUGCUGUUUGAGAGUAAACGGAGAGACAAGUUGCAAUUGAAAAUGUUAUCUUUUCCAUUAUUGGAAGCCUUGACCACUUCAAGCAAGUUGAAGGCAGAACACUCCAAGCAUGAUGGAAUCCCUUCUCUUGUCCGGCAGCAUUAGUGGAUGCUGGCGAGAUGACCAUCAAGGCUGAAGUAUGGCAACACUGUGCUGUUUGAGAGUAAACGGAGAGACAAGUUGCAAUUGAAAAUGUUAUCUUUUCCAUUAUUGGAAGCCUUGACCACUUCAAGCAAGUUGAAGGCAGAACACUCCAAGCAUGAUGGAAUCCCUUCUCUUGUCCGGCAGCAUUAGUGGAUGCUGGCGAGAUGACCAUCAAGGCUGAAGUAUGGCAACACUGUGCUGUUUGAGAGUAAACGGAGAGACAAGUUGCAAUUGAAAAUGUUAUCUUUUCCUUUAUUGGAAGCCUUGACCACUUCAAGCAAGUUGAAGGCAGAACACUCCAAGCAUGAUGGAAUCCCUUCUCUUGUCCGGCAGCAUUAGUGGAUGCUGGCGAGAUGACCAUCAAGGCUGAAGUAUGGCAACACUGUGCUGUUUGAGAGUAAACGGAGAGCUAAUCUCAUUUAAGGUGCUCUUUGAAGAAGCGUUGUCACCAACGCGAAACCGGUCAGAGCCGUAGCAUUAUAUCAUCGUUCUUCACAACAUCAAGCCUUUCUUGUCCCUUCUAUACUUCGUUGGAUAGACUCUUUACAACGGAUCCUUGAUCUUUAUCUAAGAUUUGUAUCAUUAUUAUGAUUUACGCUUUUGUAUAUAUCAUUUGAGAAGUACAUGGGACUCUGAUGUAAUUUAUUGAGCUUGCUGUUUAUAUUCAUAGUUCCUAUGGAACUGGAAUAUCUUUGUUAAUGUAUUAUGUUUAUGCUGUAUUAAAAAAAAAAAACAUUUUUAAACUAAA